GCUCGUUCGUUUGUCUCUCUCUCCAAGCAAGUCUCCAGCAGCAGUCCAGCUAGUGAACUUCGGCCCCCCAAAUCUGGUGGCGGUGAUCUGCGGCCCGGCCAGGCGAGGAGCGCAGCCUAGAGAAGCAGGCAGCGGCGGCAGGCAGCACCUCGCGGCAAGGACCUUGUGGAGGCGGAGAGGGCAUACGGCCCCCGCGGCGGCGCGGAGGCAAGUCGAUGUCAAACAUAGGGCGCACUUGGAUCCUUUGCUUGGCACUGUAGUGCCUUGCUGAGCGAGGAUGCACAGCGACCAUUUUCCUGGGAGGUUUCACAUGGCUUGAUCAUUACUUGGCAUUAAGUUGUUCUUCAAUGACGCGUUUCAUGGAUUUACGGGCUUUCAUCCUGCGCACACGUGUCUUAAAGCUUUAUAGACAGGCACUGCGAAUUACUCAACGAGCUCCUGAACAUGCCCGAGAUGAGUUGAGGAAGACCACAAGGGCUGAGUUCGAGAAAUAUCGCCAUUGUGAUGAUAAUCAAAAGAUCAGGUUUUUGAUUAGUGAAGGGAAGCAGAGACUAAAAGGUCUCGAUGAACUACUUGACAUGACAGGGAACGGCUAAUAUGGUUGCAUCUUGGAGUUUGCUACUGUAUUCAGCCCCCUCCAAAAUUCAUGAAGUCUAAAUUGUUUGCUACUGAUCACUUUAAUAAGGAACAACACUAUGUCUGAUGAGCUUUUGGGCCAUUUCUGUAAGAAAAUUGUUACGGGAAUGCAAAACAUGGUUGUAUUGAAUGUGGAUAGUUAAUUGAUGAUCCACACUUCUUCACAAAUCUUUCUUGUCUUCAAAUAUAUGGGUGUUUCCAUACUGAGAAAUACUGUGAUCACUUUACUUGCGAACCAUGCUCAGAAACA